AACGAACGCUGGCGGCGCGCCUAAUACAUGCAAGUCGAGCGAGAAGACGUAGCAAUACGUUUGUAAAGCGGCGAACGGGUGAGGAAUACAUGGGUAACCUACCCUCGAGUGGGGAAGUAACUAGCCGAAAGGUUAGCUAAUACCGCGUACGCUCCUUGGACUUCGGUUCAGGGAGGAAAGCGAUACCGUGGGUAUCGCGCUCUUGGAUGGGCUCAUGUCCUAUCAGCUUGUUGGUGAGGUAACGGCUCACCAAGGCUUCGACGGGUAGCUGGUCUGAGAGGACGAUCAGCCACACUGGCACUGCGACACGGGCCAGACUCCUACGGGAGGCAGCAGUAAGGAAUAUUGCGCAAUGGGCGAAAGCCUGACGCAGCGACGCCGCGUGGGGGAGUGAAGGGUAC
rnacentral:rRNA from 1 species